rnacentral:rRNA from 1 species
GGGUCCGCACAAGCGGUGGAGCAUGUGGUUUAAUUCGAUGAUACGCGAGGAACCUUACCAGGGCUUAAAUGUAAGUUGCAUAGAUCAGAGAUGGUCUUUUCUUCGGACUACUUACAAGGUGCUGCAUGGUUGUCGUCAGCUCGUGCCGUGAGGUGUCAGGUUAAGUCCUAUAACGAGCGCAACCCCUGUCGUUAGUUACCAGCAAGUAAUGUUGGGUACUCUAGCGAGACUGCCGGUGCAAACCGUGAGGAAGGUGGGGAUGACGUCAAAUCAUCACGGCCCUUACGUCCUGGCUACACACGUGCUACAAUGGCCGGUACAGAGAGCAGCCACUACGCGAGGACAAGCAAA